UAAGAAAACUGAGACACAGAAAAGUCACACAAGAUUAUCGAGGUCAACACAGAGAACAGUGGAACCUGCACCUGACCCCAGGCAGGCGGAACCUUCAUGACCACACCACACCACCACAGGGAACAGGCAGGGAAAACAAUGGGUCUAGCAGGACAAAAGUGACAUUUCCCAGAGUUUCUUGCUGUUUGGAUCUGGCUGCAGUUUCAGUUUUGCCAAGAAGAGGCAUUUCCAUGAGCUCUGGACAGUGGCAGAGAGGCAGAGGUGCUCCACUGCAGUGUGCUGGAUGGUCCACGGGCUCCUGCCAAUGUGAGGAUUUGCAGCAACUGGUAUAUCCAUGGUCUUGUCACCAGCUUCCUGAAUUCGGGGCAGCUGGAGCCACACUAGUGGUCCUUCCUUGCAGGGGCAGCAGCUGUCUCCUGGUCUCAGAAUCACAGCUGUGGGGAUGCAACCUUAAGCCAAAAGCCUAGCGGUGGGUGGUCCUAAACUUCUUUUGUCUAGGCCCUCUGAUCCCUCUGUAAGUCGCUAUUUCCCUUAUUAAAUCUCUUUCUGCUGGA
rnacentral:lncRNA from 1 species